UCUCGAUGAUGAUGAUGAUGAUGAUGAUGAGAUGAUGAUUGCUAUUGGUAUACCCUUUGUAGCGGGGUGAUGACGUGUCAUCUUACCAGAAAAACUAAAAUACCUAUGUUUUAUCAUCAUCAUCAUCAUCAUCAUCACCAGCCUGU
rnacentral:pre_miRNA from 1 species